UACUCUCAGGUUCCGGAGAUCUUAGGACUCU
rnacentral:piRNA from 1 species